GCACAUGUAUGAAAAUUAAAAUGACGUGGAGAUUAGCAUGUCCCUUGCAUGAGAAUGACACUUGAAUUUGUGAGUCAGUCUGUAUUUUU
rnacentral:snRNA from 1 species